AUCACCUCUGUUUUCCACCGCCUCAAUUUUUCCAAUGUUAAAUUCUUUCAUUUUCUGAAAAUAACUCAAAAACCCAGCAAUCAACUUCUUGUUUCUGCUGCUUUCGAUUCAAGUGGUGCGGCGCGACUAGGAACGUGAACUUUAAAUUCUCGCAGUCAAUUUCAAAGUUCAAGUUACAGGUGUGGGAUUUAUUUCAGUACAUGCCGUGGUUAAUUGUUGUCCAUUUUAAUAGUAUGUGUUUGCCAUAUGUGUUGUAAAUUCAGUUAUAUCGCUAGGGGCCCGCUCAAUGGGUUCAGGACUUCACCGUCCUUGGUAUGCCACAAUGCGAUUUCAUGUUACAGUUAGGGUUGCAACCUAUUCGCCAGGGGCCUGCUCAAUGGGUCCAGGACUUUAAAGUCCUUGGUAUGCCACCGUGCGAAUUUCAGUUAUCAGUACAGUGCAGUGCGUAUGUGUUGACCAUUUUAUUAACGUGGACAAUUAUUGCAUGUUUCCCACACUGAGUAUAUUUCAUAUGCUCAUCCCAUAUUUAACAUUUUCAGGUAACUAAGGUUGGAGACGCGUGGAGGAUCGAAUGGGCGCGUCACGUAUAUAUAUAUUUUGAAAAAUAUGAUGGCGUAGUUACAUCUAGCCUUUUGCUUUGUAUGGUUUCAAAGUCUAAAACUACUUUUGAGUUUUGAUAUAACUUAUCAUAUUAGCUUUUCCUCCAUGGCUGGCCUUCUUUUAAAGUUAUUUCAAAUAUUUUAUUUAGGAAUUUAUUUCUUUGAAUUUCUUUAUAA